rnacentral:rRNA from 1 species
AUUGAACGCUGGCGGAAUGCUUUACACAUGCAAGUCGAACGGCAGCACGGGGGCAACCCUGGAUGCGAGUGGCGAACGGGUGAGUAAUACAUCGGAAUGUGCCCAGUCGUGGGGGAUGACGUAGCGAAAGUAACGCUAAUACCGCAUACGAUCUACGGAUGAAAGCGGGGGACCGUAAGGCCUUGCCCGAGUGGAUGGGCCGAUGUCAGAUUAGGUAGUGGGUGGGGUAAAGGCUCACCAAGCCGACGAUCUGUAGCUGGUCUGAGAGGACGACCGGCCACACUGGGACUGAGACACGCCCCAGACUCGUACGGGGGGAAGCAGUGGGGAAUUUUGGAAAAUGGGGGCAAGCCUGUUCCAGCAAUUCCGCGUGCAGGACGAAGGCCUUCGGGUUGUAAGCUGCUUUUGUACGGAACAAAAAGGCUAUGGUUAAUACCCGGGGCUCAUGACGGUACCGUAAGAAUAAGCACCGGCUAACUACGUGCCAGCCGCCGCAGUAA